UACGUAGGCAGCGAGCGUUGUUCGGAAUUACUGGGCGUAAAGUGUGCGCAGGUGGCUUCGCAAGUCGAGUGUGAAAUCCCCGGGCUUAACCUGGGAAUUGCGCUCGAAACUACGGAGCUGGAGUGUGGCAGAGGGAGGUGGAAUUCCACGUGUAGCGGUGAAAUGCGUAGAGAUGUGGAGGAACACCAAUGGCGAAGGCAGCCUCCUGGGACAACACUGACACUCAUGCACGAAAGCGUGGGGAGCAAACAGG
rnacentral:rRNA from 1 species